GUCCACGCCGUAAACGAUGUCUACUAGCUGUUCGUGGUCUUGUACCGUGAGUAGCGCAGCUAACGCAUUAAGUAGACCGCCUGGGAGUACGGUCGCAAGAUUAAACUCAAAUGAAUUGACGGGGCCCGCACAAGCGGUGGAGCAUGUGGUUUAAUUCGACGCAACGCGAAGAACCUUACCUACUCUUGACAUCUACAGAACUUAGCAGAGAUGCUUUGGUGCCUUCGGGAACUGUAAGACAGGUGCUGCAUGGCUGUCGU
rnacentral:rRNA from 1 species